rnacentral:rRNA from 1 species
CGCCUAACACAUGCAAGUCGAACGAAGUAGCAAUACUUAGUGGCAGACGGGUGAGUAACAUGUGGGUAUCUACCCUUUGGCCUGGAAUAACACGAGGAAACUUGUGCUAAUACCGGAUAAGUCUUUACGGAGAAAGCUUUAUGCACCAUUGGAUGAGCCCGCACUUGAUUAGUUUGUUGGUAGGGUAAUGGCCUACCAAGACUAUGAUCAAUAGCUGAUUUGAGAGGAUGAUCAGCCACAUUGGGACUGAGACACGGCCCAAACUCCUACGGGAGGCAGCAGUGGGGAAUCUUGCACAAUGGAGGAAACUCUGAUGCAGCGAUGCCGCGUGAGUGAAGAAGGCCUUUGGGUUGUAAAGCUCUUUCGUCGGGGAAGAAAAUGACUGUACCCGAAUAAGAAGGUCCGGCUAACUUCGUGCCAGCAGCCGCGGUAAUACGAAGGGACCUAGCGUAGUUCGGAAUUACUGGGCUUAAAGAGUUCGUAGGUGGUUGAAAAAGUUGGUGGUGAAAUCCCAGAGCUUAACUCUGGAACUGCCAUCAAAACUUUUCAGCUAGAGUAUGAUAGAGGAAAGCAGAAUUUCUAGUGUAGAGGUGAAAUUCGUAGAUAUUAGAAAGAAUACCAAUUGCGAAGGCAGCUUUCUGGAUCAUUACUGACACUGAGGAACGAAAGCAUGGGUAGCGAAGAGGAUUAGAUACCCUCGUAGUCCAUGCCGUAAACGAUGUGUGUUAGACGUUGGAAAUUUAUUUUCAGUGUCGCAGGGAAACCGAUAAACACACCGCCUGGGGAGUACGACCGCAAGGUUAAAACUCAAAUGAAUUGACGGGGACCCGCACAAGUAGUGGAGCAUGUGGUUUAAUUCGAAGAUACGCGCAGAACCUUA